ACGCACAUGCGAGUGCGAUAUAAAUAAAUAAGACGCUGUGUCUGCGCUGCGCCUCUAGGACGGCGGAAAGGAUCGCCUCCGGAAACGAGCCCCGGUGAUCCCGCUGCUGCUCCGCCGGCUGCGCCGCGCCGCUGAAGGACACCGGUGCGCACGCAGGACGGAACCCCGUGCACGUGUGGCACAGCCGCGGGGGCGAUACCUGCGCGCGUGCGGCCGCCUAGUUUACAGCCGCGGCGCGCGGAAGCAGCGCGGAAACAUCGUCCCGGAGAAAUGGACCGAGUUGUUUGGUCGGUCGCGGCGGGGUUUGGGUGCCUGGAUCCGGAUUGGCCUGAUUGGGAACAUGGAACAAGUGCAGUGCUUAACCUGCGUGACCCCCCAGCGCCAAAAACCCACUUCUUUGCACUACUUUGUUUCUUUUCUUCCUCCUCCUCUUCCUUUCUUCCUUUUCUUACCCCUCCAGUGACGCCUGCCGCCUGCAGGUACAAAAUUCUGCAAAUGACACCCUGCAUGUGCGAGAAACACACGCGCGUGCAGGCCGUUGGUUGCAGUGUACUGUGGUCCGGCCGGUCCCCCGUCACGGCUGCACUCGCAAACCACUGAUGAGGCAGCAGUUGCUUAGUGCGGAUUACAGCAAAGAGCGCAGACCUGCUCCCCGUUGCUGUUGUUGUCUUUGUUACAAAAGACACAAGUGAUCCGAGCUGAAUUCGACAUCUCACGGUCGGAGGCUCCUCUCUGCAGCUCUGAAUCUCUCGUUGGCUUUUUAGCAAUUUCACAUGCAAGAGUAACAAUGAGAACAUACAUUGAGAGGCAUGUACAGGGAAAUGAAACCAUUAACAAACAGCGCUUUGUUGAACCCAAACUUUUAAGCUGCAGAAAUCAAUGUUUUUGAACGUUUCCUUCAAUACAAAAGUGGUUGUUGGCGUUGGCGCGGCACGGACAGACGUCUCUGUGGGGAAAGUUAGGAUGACCUGAGACAGGUUGAUUAUGGCGACAAACUCCACCACUUGAUCUGUGGAGCUUUUUAGCCUCUUUCAGCAAAUUGUUUGGGUUUUUCUUGGAGACAAAAUCAGAGCUUAAUUGUAUUGGCACGAUGUCUUUUGGUCUUUUUGCUUUAAAAAGUCAGGAAAGUUGUUGAAAUGCAUGAAUGCACUAGCAUUUCAUUCCACUUUAUUUUAUUACUUGUGCACUGCUGUCUUGUCUGUCUACUGUCGCGCACUAACCGCCAAGACAAAUUCCUUGUAUGUUUGACAUAUUUUGGCUAAUAAAUGAUUCCUGAAAGAAAGAACUAAAGAGGAAAAAGCAGGAGAAGAGUUCAUGUUUGAACGCUGUGUCUCAGGACUGUGAUCAGUUUACAUUUAGUUUAUUUCAUUUUGUGAAUCCACAUCCCCGUGUGACGCUUCUCUUCGGUUAUCAACACAGGAACAACAUUAAAACAACAUGUCCUGCUUUAGUCUGAGUGUUGGAACCUUGAAACUGAAACGCACAGUCUGUCACAUCUGGGUCAAGAAGUGAGCUGCGGAAUUCAUCCUUGACAGAUACGAGUUCUUACAUAAUAAGCUGAGGAGGCGGGACGUUUCUCCUGGUGGGAUAACUUUGGAUUACUAGACGUAACAAAAUCUGUCAGAAAAGAAGACUGACAGGGACAAUGUGUAUUUUUUGGGAGAUCCAGCAGAAAUGUAGUAGAAUAGACCUGUUUUUAUUUAAGAAGCUUUGUGUUUCUUUCAGCUGAGAAUGAGCCCCUCGUAUCUACAUGUGGAGCGCAGCCGACGUUCUAAACAAUCAAGUCAGAAAUGGAAAAUGUGCAGAUAAAGAGACGCACGGUAACACACCUUUUGACACAGCUCCUGAACAUAUAUAAUAUUAUAUUUUAUAACUGGUACCUUUUAAGAUUAUAUGCAGCUUUUUCUUCAUUAUUAUGUUCAUCAGGAAUACAAAUAACUACCUGGAACCUCAGAUAAAAAGUAUUUUAAUUAUCAAACAAACAUGUGACUCCAUGGAAAUGAUGAAACUACAGUUUGCCCCCAAAGCCCUAUGGGAAAUGUAGUUGGAUGUGUGAACAUCCACAGACCGCAUAUGUCCACAUGUAACGCUGAGGUAGUGACCUGUCAAUCCCAACGUAGCCCCGCCCUAAAGCAUACUCUAUAUAUGCUUUAUGCUCUAUUUGUGUUAAAUGGACCAUCAUUUACUAAUAUACACCAUGAACUAUUGAAGAGGUAUUGAAACUAAAUAUUAAAACCAUAAACACAUUUUUACAAAAUCAAGUCAAACCUUUGCAAUGGGAGCAUUUAUAAUAGAUCUGUCUUCAUAUAUAAUAUCUGUCUGUAAUCUGAUUCUUCUUUCUUUUUAGUUAUUGUGAAUUCUUGUUUUUUUAUUACUGCUUAUUUAUAAUUUGUUAUAAUUUCUAACUUGUUUCUUGUACUUUGCUGCUGUAAUCCUGUCAAUUUACUUGCUGUCGGAGUAAUAAAGAAUUAUCUCAUCUUAUCUUAAAAUGGA